rnacentral:rRNA from 1 species
GGAGGAAAGCAGGGGAUCGCAAGACCUUGCGCUCAUUGAGCGGCCGAUGCCUGAUUAGCUAGUUGGUGAGGUAAAGGCUUACCAAGGCGACGAUCAGUAGCUGGUCUGAGAGGACGACCAGCCACACUGGGACUGAGACACGGCCCAGACUCCUACGGGAGGCAGCAGUGGGGAAUUUUGGACAAUGGGGGAAACCCUGAUCCAGCCAUGCCGCGUGAGUGAAGAAGGCCUUCGGGUUGUAAAGCUCUUUCAGCCGGAACGAAACGGUCACGGCUAAUACCUGUGACUACUGACGGUACCGGGAGAAGAAGCACCGGCUAACUACGUGCCAGCAGCCGCGGUGAUACGUAGGGUGCGAGCGUUAAUCGGAAUUACUGGGCGUAAAGCGUGCGCAGGCGGUUUUGUAAGU